UUCGUGUCUGCAGUGGAGCAUUGCGUCCAUUACUGGAAUUGUGACCUUUGGUUCACAUCUCUUCCUCUGUUUAUAUUUGAUAAUCAGUUUAAUAUUUCUCUUUUUCUCACUUUUCUUUUUACUCAUGAUUUCUGAUUCGAUUUUCUGACAAACCAAAUUUUAUCACCCGAUCAUCCACCAUUCAUGACCAGUGAGUUGCCAUUAACAUCCUCGAUCAUUGAAGCUUCCUUUAUGAAGUGGUCAAGAGGGAGAGGAAACUCCGAGUUGGUGUUGAUGAGAAUGUGGAACGUGUGGAUGGGUUUGGAAGUGAAGAUUAACGAGUUUUUAUGAACUUCAAGAACCUGCUAAAGGCGAAGAAUUGGUGAUUAAAACUGUGGAAGCUGAUGAGUUCCUGGUUGCUGUCUCGCCGGAGGAUGUGGUAGCAAAGGAGAUGGUAGUUCGUGAAGAAGACGGACCGAGAGGGUCCGCAGAAGAAAGAAGUGGAGAAACCGGUGAUGAACACCAUGAGUUAUUGUUCGAACGGUGGAAGAUGAACAUACUUGUUCUGUAAAAACUUGGAAACAUGAGUAAAGAGGAGGGAAGAUGCCAGAAACGGGAUCACGGGAAGAUAUGACCACCUUAGACACAACUGGUGUUGCAUCCUGCAAAAAUAGUAAAACUAAUUAGUAAAUGACAUCUUUGUUUCGGCUGUUUCUUGUAUCUUUCAUUCUAAUAUUCAAUUAUCUUUUCCUUUUUCUAACUGCAGGGUAACUCGUAGAAGAGACAAUAAGAAGAGAAUUCUUUUAACGAGAGUGUUUUCCAAAAUUGCAUUAUGAUUUACGGAUCUAUGGCCAUUCAAUAUUUUGUAGGACUAUUUUAAUCUUCAGGAUGUAAGCACUUAUCAGCUACUAGAAUGAAACUUCAAUUUUUAUUGUUAUAGGGUCAUUUAUCUAUCAGUUUGCCAAUAAACCAGAGAAAUGAUCAACAGUUUUACCGAUAUUAUAUGGUUGAUUCUAA